rnacentral:rRNA from 1 species
AUUGAACGCUGGCGGCAGGCCUAACACAUGCAAGUCGAGCGGAUGAAGGGAGCUUGCUCCUGGAUUCAGCGGCGGACGGGUGAGUAAUGCCUAGGAAUCUGCCUGGCAGUGGGGGAUAACGUCCGGAAACGGGCGCUAAUACCGCAUACGUCCUGAGGGAGCAAGUGGGGGAUCUUCGGACCUCACGCUAUCAGAUGAGCCUAGGUCGGAUUAGCUAGUUGGUGGGGUAAAGGCCUACCAAGGCGACGAUCCGUAACUGGUCUGAGAGGAUGAUCAGUCACACUGGAACUGAGACACGGUCCAGACUCCUACGGGAGGCAGCAGUGGGGAAUGUUGGACAGUGGGCGAAAGCCUGAUCCAGCCAUGCCGCGUGUGUGAAGAAGGUCUUCGGAUUGUAAAGCACUUUAAGUUGGGAGGAAGGGCAGUAAGUUAAUACCUUGCUGUUUUGACGUUACCAACAGAAUAAGCACCGGCUAACUUCGUG